rnacentral:rRNA from 1 species
UACGGGGGGGGGCAAGCGUUGUUCGGGAAUUACUGGGCGUAAAGGGCUCGUAGGCGGCCAACUAAGUCAGACGUGAAAUCCCCAGGCUCAACCUGGGAACUGCGUCUGAUACUGGAUGGCUUGAAUUCGGGAGAGGGAUGCAGAAUUCCAGGUGUAGCGGUGAAAUGCGUAGAUAUCUGGAGGAAUACCGGUGGCGAAGGCGGCAUCCUGGACCGACAUUGACGCUGAACGGCGAAAGCUAGGGGAGCAAACGGG